UUUUUUUUUUUGAGAUGGAGUCUUGCCCUGUCGCCAGGCUGGAGUACAGGGUCGCAAUCUUGGCUCACUGCAACCUCUCCCUUCCCAGAUUCAAGCAAUUCUCCUGCCUCAGCCUCCCGAGUAGCUGGGACUACAGGCACAUGCCACCAUGCCCAGCUAAUUUUUGUAUUUUUAGUAGAGACGAGGUUUCACCAUGUUGGCCAGGAUGGUCUCCAUACUCUUGACCUCGUGAUCCGCCUGCCUCGGCCUCCCAAAAUGCUGCGAUUACAGGCAUGAGCAACUGCGCCUGGCCCUGACUCCUUCUUAGAACAUAAGAAAAUGGAUUCUGCAACCUUUAGAAAUUAAACAUUCGUUUUCAGUGAGGUCCCAAGUAUUCCAAAGAUUUUGUGUGUGAAUAUGGUUUUAUUUCAUUACCUUUCUUUGGGAUAGGAUAGGAAGUCACAUCCUAGUUUUUAUUUCCUGGUUUCUAUGCCUCAUUAACUUUUUGUUUUAAGGGGAUGUUUUAUUUUUAUUUACAAGAAAGUUAACGGAGUAUACUUAAACUAGUUUUGUGGCAAGCUCUUGAGCCUUUUUCUUUUCCAACUUGGCAUUGUGAAUUACAGAAUUUGGGCCUAAGUAAUUGUCUUCCAGUGUGUCAGAUCUUAUCAUAGUUAUCACUGUAGUUAGUUCUGAUGGCCUCUACCAGCUCAGCCAGCAUACCACUAUCUUUCCAGUUAAGCCGUAUAAAAGUGAGACUGAUGUAGGUCAUCCUGUGACUUCAUCUAACCUUUCCCUUGAUGAUGUAGUAGGGAGCCCUGAUUUUAUGGACAAGGUGAGCAAUAAGAAAUGCAGGUCAAGGGGUCUCCUCUCAUGCCAGUCACCAUUGCUGACUAUUCUUGUGCUCCACUUAGAUGGUGGCACUAUUAACACCUAUGUGAAGGUCAUAUGGUUCUUGGGUGGAGAAUUUCCAUUGGCUGGCAGCUUUUUUUCUGGGCUGGCAUUCACUUUUUCAGCUUGUCUCUGGUUAGUAUUGUAGACCAGCUUGUUGGAUAACCCAAGGGCAAGCUGAACCGGGUAAUUUUAGAAAAGCUAGGUCUUUGUCACUGGGACGGUUAUAACAGGGCCAUCUGAAAAAGUAAAACGUCCCUGUUAGGCUGGAUAUCAGACCAAAGCCCAUGCUCUUUGCCUUUCUUAAAAAGAGGAUUUACUACUUCUUGGUCUUAUUGGGGCUCAGAACAUGACACCCCAAAAUAUGGCACCUUGGCAUACUGAGUAUUUUAAGUUGAAGGAAAUUGAGAACACAGCAGAAGCAGGAAAGUCACUCUCUGACCUUCUGCCACCUUUCUUUCCUGCAGCUGGCCAUAAAAGAAUUCUCUGACCUGCCUCUCUUGAAAGUAGAUCAAAAGACUGUCAUUUCACAGGGAGCCUACUCUAUCCCCAGAGGCCAAGAAGAAUCUGAACAAAUAGGCCUUGCUCCCCCAACUUUAUUUAUUUAUGUAUUUUUAUCUUUGAGAUGGGGUCUUGCUCUGUCACCCAGGCUGGAGUGCAAUGGCGCGAUCCUGGUUCACUGCAACCUCUGCCUCCUGGGUUCAAGCGAUUCUCCUGCUUCAGCCUCCCAAAUAGCUGGGAUUACAGGCAUGUGCCACCACGCCUGGCUAAUUUUUGUAUUUUUAGUAGAGACAGGGUUUUGCCAUGUUGGCCAGGCUGGUCUCGAACUCCUGACCUCAGGUGAUCUGCCUGCCUCUGCCUCCCAAAGUGCUGGGAUUACAGGUGUGAGCCACCGUGCCCGGCCAGCUUCCCCAAGUUUAAUACCAUUAGGUCAUACCCAUUUGUCCUCUGCAUGAUCGUCCAUAAAUAUACAUAGUUUUCCCUGGGUUUUUGAGUCUUCGUUUCUGAUGGCUCUUGUGUCAUGUAAAAUUUAUAUUAAAUAAAUUUUUUAUAGGUUUUUCUCUUGUUAAUCUGUCUUUUAUGAGGGAUGUCAGUCAUGAACCUUGCAAUGAGUGAGGAAAAUACAUUACAAUUUUCCCCUACAAUCUUGUCUUUAAAACAACAGGGUCCAUGGCCACUUUGUUUUCCUUUUGGCCUUCUUUUCUUUUGGUACCUUGGGUAUCUAGACUUUCUUGCUUUUAAAGUAUGUUUCUAUCAAAUGAAUUUAGUUCUUUAUUUCUAAAGGAUUGGAUUUUUUGGUCCUUUUCAGUCUCUUUUUAAUUUAUGUUUUCUUUUUUGGGGUUUUUCAUUUUCCAUUCAUACUUUUUUAUUUUUUUUCUUGAGGUGGAGUCUCAGUCUGUCACCCAGGCAGGAGUGCAGUGGCAUGAUCUCGGCUCACUGCAACCUCCACCUCCCGGGUUCAAGUGUUUCUCCUGCCUCAACCUCCUGAGCAGCUGGGAUUACAGGCGUCUUCUCAUAGCUGGUACUUGUGAAACCUAAAUCAGCUUGACUUUUCCCACCACUGGGAAAUCUGGGGAUUCUGCUGCCUGAAAUACUGUCUUCUUAAAACUUGGCUCAAAGGAAAAUUAAAGCCAUGGAUCCCAACAGUGCUGCUGUUAUGCCUGCUAUAUCUGGUAACUCCUAGAGUCUAGUAGAGAUCCUAGUUAGUACCUCACACCAACCUAGUACACUUGCAAACCUGCUUUUAGAGAAUUAACUGUGCCGGGCAUAGUGGCUCAUGCCUGUAAUCCCAGCACUUUGGGAGGCUGAGGCAGGCAGAUCAUUUGAGGUUAGGAGUUCGAGACCAGCCUUGCCAACAUGGUAAAACCCUGUCUCUAAUAAAAAUACAAAAAUUAGCCAGGCGUGGUAGCAGGUGCCUGUAGUCCCAGCUACUUGGGAGACUGAGGCAGAGAACUGCUUGAACCUGGGAGACGGAGGUUGCAAUGAGCCGAGAUUGUGCCAUUGCACUCCAGCCUGGGCGACAGAGCAAGAUUCCAUCUCAAAAAAAAGGAAAAAAGAAUUAACUGCACCUGAGGCAGGCAGAUAAUGUUAUGCAAGAGUUUUAUCCUCUUCUGAAUUGCUCCAGCAUCAUUUGGCUCCUCAACAAUGUAAGGACUGCAUCUUUGAGCUAUAAGACCCUCCCUUGGGUAAUUAAACUCUAUGUGCUGUCAAGGGGCAUGUUGUUGACACAGUUUGUCCCAAAUCCAGUGGUUAUAUGUGCUGGCUACCAUUUGUUAAAGUAGGCAGAUAGCCAGAAAUGAGCAAGGAAAGGAGCUCCUCUGAGAAAAGAAGUCCUGGAGAAGCUGCCCACUAAUAAUCAGCACUGCCCACUCACAGUCAGCAAAAACAAAACAAAAACAACAACAAAAAAAACCCAGUGGCUACACUGGCUACUUCCGGCCUUAUGGUUGGUCUCCUCCAUUCCUAAAGGGUACGUAUAAGGCCCAAGCCAGAGAUAAUCAUGGUAGAAACUUUCCCUGGUAAUGAGCACGUGCACUCCUCCAAAAACUCACCCUAGAGUAGCCUUUUGCUCAUUAUAAUAGUAAAAAACACACCCCUGGGUGGAGAUUUUAAAUGCUAAUGAGACAUGCGACAUGUGUACUAGCAUGUGCAACAACAGAGCGUGCAUGCCCAAACAGACCUCCUGAAACAUGCUUGCGAGUAACAUUCCCCUCACGCCCCUUUGUGAAUAAUCAUGUAAGAUUCUCAUAAAGAGAAUCCUCCAGCACUAGCUGCUGCUGGCCUUGUUGUUGUUGUUGUUGUUGUUUUUUGAGAUAGAGUCUUGCUCUGUCACUCAGGCUGGAGUGCAGUGGCACGAUCUUAGUUCCCUACAAACUCUGCCUACUGAGUUCAAGUGAUUCUCCUGCGUCAGCCUCCCGAGUAGCUGGGACCACAGGCACGUACCACCACACCCAGCGACACUUUGGUAUUUUUAGUAGAAGCAGGGUUUCACCAUGUUGGCCAGGCUGGUCUUGAACUACUGACCUCAAGUGAUCCACCUGCCUCGGCCUCCCAAAGUGCUGGGAUUACAGGUGUAAACCACCGCACCUGGCCUGCUGCUGGCUUCUUAUUUCAGCAUGUACUGUCUCUACUUAAACAUUACUACUACUGUUUUUCCAGCUGGAGCAACCUAGAGCUGUUUUUCACUCCUUUCUAGGAAUGUACUUUAUCUUCCUUCAAUAAACUCUGCUACUUAACCCUU